CCGGAUUUACUGGGUGUAAAGGGCGUGUAGGCGGGGAUGCAAGUCAGAUGUGAAAUCCCGCGGCUCAACCGCGGAACUGCAUCUGAAACUGCGUCUCUUGAGUGUCGGAAGGGAAAGUGGAAUUCCUAGUGUAGCGGUGAAAUGCGUAGAUAUUAGGAGGAACACCAGUGGCGAAGGCGGCUUACUGGACUGUAACUGACGCUGAGACACGAAAGCGUGGGUAGCAAACAGGAUUAGAUACCCUGGUAGUCCACGCUGUAAACGAUGAGUGCUAGGUGUUGGGUAGCGAUAUUCAGUGCCCGAGUAAACACAAUAAGCACUCCGCCUGGGAAGUACGUACGCAAGUAUGAAACUCAAAGGAGUUGACGGGGACUCGCACAAGCAGCGGAGCAUGUGGUUUAAUUAGAAGCAACGCGAAGAACCUUACCAAGGCUUGACAUCCCCUUGACCAGUGCAGAGAUGUACUCUCUUCUUCGGAAGCAAGGGAGACAGGUGGUGCAUGGUUGUCGUCAGCUCGUGUCGUGAGAUGUUGGGUUAAGUCCCGCAACGAGCGCAACCCUUAUCCUUAGUUGCCAGCAUAUAAGGUGGGCACUCUAAGGAGACUGCCGGUGAUAAACCGGAGGAAGGUGGGGAUGACGUCAAAUCAUCAUGCCCCUUAUGUCUUGGGCUACACACGUGCUACAAUGGUCGGUUCAACGGGGAGCGAAGGAUUGAUCCGGAGCAAAUCCCAAUAAACCGCUCCCACUUCGGAUUGCAGGCUGCAACUCGCCUCCAUGAAGUGGGACUUCAUACUAUUCGCGAAUCACC
rnacentral:rRNA from 1 species